AAGAUUAAAGCCUGGAAGCAAUCCCCAGGGAAAACCUUAGAGGAGUCAAAACUAUGACA
rnacentral:sRNA from 1 species